rnacentral:rRNA from 1 species
AGAGUUCGAUCCUGGCUCAGGAUGAACGCUGGCGGCGUGCCUAACACAUGCAAGUCGAACGAAGCACCUUGGGAGAUUCUUCGGAUGAUCUUAUGGUGACUGAGUGGCGGACGGGUGAGUAACGCGUGGGUAACCUGCCCUGUACAGGGGGACAACAGCUAGAAAUGGCUGCUAAUACCGCAUAAGCGCACAGGAAGACAUCUUCCAGUGUGAAAAACUCCGGUGGUACAGGAUGGGCCCGCGUCUGAUUAGCUGGUUGGCGGGGUAACGGCCCACCAAGGCGACGAUCAGUAGCCGGUCUGAGAGGAUGAACGGCCACAUUGGAACUGAGACACGGUCCAA